AUUGAACGCUGGCGGCAGGCCUAACACAUGCAAGUCGAGCGGAUGAAGGGAGCUUGCUCCUGGAUUCAGCGUCGGACGGGUGAGUAAUGCCUAGGAAUCUGCCUGGUAGUGGGGGAUAACGUCCGGAAACGGGCGCUAAUACCGCAUACGUCCUGAGGGAGAAAGUGGGGGAUCUUCGGACCUCACGCUAUCAGAUGAGCCUAGGUCGGAUUAGCUAGUUGGUGGGGUAAGGGCCUACCAAGGCGACGAUCCGUAACUGGUCUGAGAGGAUGAUCAGUCACACUGGAACUGAGACACGGUCCAGACUCCUACGGGAGGCAGCAGUGGGGAAUAUUGGACAAUGGGCGAAAGCCUGAUCCAGCCAUGCCGCGUGUGUGAAGAAGGUCUUCGGAUUGUAAAGCACUUUAAGUUGGGAGGAAGGGCAGUAAGUUAAUACCUUGCUGUUUUGACGUUACCAACAGAAUAAGCACCGGCUAACUUCGUG
rnacentral:rRNA from 1 species